rfam:Peptoniphilus harei ACS-146-V-Sch2b contig00026, whole genome shotgun sequence.
UUAAAUCUUCAGGGAAGGGUGCAAAUCCCAACCGGCGGUAAAGUCCGCGAGCGCAAGCCGAAUUGGUGCAAUUCCAAUACCGACAGUAAAGUCUGGAUGAGAGAAUGAUUUAA